rnacentral:rRNA from 1 species
CCUACGGGAGGCAGCAGUGAGGAAUAUUGGUCAAUGGCCGGAAGGCUGAACCAGCCAUGCCGCGUGAAGGUCAGUGCCCUAUGGGCGUUAAACUUCUUUUGUGCGGGAGCAAUAAUGGUCACGUGUGGCCAGACGAGAGUACCGUACGAAUAAGCAUCGGCUAACUCCGUGCCAGCAGCCGCGGGAAUACGGGUGAUGCAAGCGUUAUCCGGAUUUAUUGGGUUUAAAGGGUGCGUAAGCUGUGAGGUAAGUCAGCGGUGAAAUGCCCCGGCUCAACGGGGUGAAGUGCCAUUGAUACUGCCGUGCUGGAAUGCGGAUGACGUGGGAGGAAUGUGUGGUGUAGCGGUGAAAUGCAUAGAUAUCACACAGAACACCGAUUGCGAAGGCAUCUCACGAAUCCGCGAUUGACGCUGAUGCACGAAAGCGUGGGUAUCAAACAGGAUUAGAUACCCCUGUAGUC